GGCGACUGUACCUGGUGGGACAGUCCACUCUGCAGGACACUGUUCCUGGCUAUUUCACAGACAUCGCAGGUGCUGAGUUUCCACAGCUGAGCGGCUAUGGCGUAUUCUUCCAUGAGUGGUUCCUGAAUUGAGUGGAACUGCAUUGGAUCGUCAGUGGACAGGGACACACACAGACCUUUCUGCAGAAACUCUCUGAAGGGGUUUUUGGAGUAUUUCAAGAAAAGACUGUUGUUGCUCAGUGGAGACAUUGCAAUUGGCAUUUGGGCCAAGUAGUACAGGUUGAGUCCAUGUGAGAUGUUGUCAGCAGCCAGGAACGCAGAGACCAAAUGAGUGACUGAUCCAGCUUCUCCACAAUGUGGACGGAACUGAAAGGUGCCAAGUCCAAGCUCUCUGAAGAAAACACACAAAGGACAGAGGAAACAGACUGAGAAGGUUUAGGAGUGCUCCAAAGAAUGAGCGUCCUGCCUGCAGUCCAGAGAGUGAAGAAUCUACAGAGCUUCAACCAUCACUGUAUUCAGUUCCUGGAAGACAGGUGAGGUAACACCGUGGUAGACAUGCUGCUGUCCAGGCUUUGGAACAUUUUUACAGGUAUUAAGAAAAAAAAAACAUUAUGUCUCCUACUGCUUGUUUGUAAUUUCUC